UCCAGAGGUCUCAAGCGUUGUUCGGAUUCAUUGGGCGUAAAGGGUGUGUAGGUGGCGCCGUAAGUCGGGUGUGAAAUCUCGGGGCUUAACUCCGAAACUGCAUUCGAUACUGCGGUGCUUGAGGACUGGAGAGGAGACUGGAAUUCAUGGUGUAGCAGUGAAAUGCGUAGAGAUCAUGAGGAAGACCAGUGGCGAAGGCGGGUCUCUGGACAGUUCCUGACACUGAGACACGAAGGCCAGGGGAGCAAACGGG
rnacentral:rRNA from 1 species